rnacentral:rRNA from 1 species
AACGAACGUUGGCGGCGUGGAUUAGGCAUGCAAGUCGCGGGAAUCCCAGCAAUGGGGGAACCGGCGUAAGGGGCAGUAAGGCGUGGGUACCUACCUUGGGGUCCGGGAUAGCCGUCCGAGAGGGCGGGUAAUACCGGAUGACCUCGGGAGAGCAAAGCUCCGGCGCCCUGAGAGGGGCCCACGUGAUAUUAGCUGGUUGGUGAGGUGACGGCUCACCAAGGCGGAGAUGUCUAGCGGGUGUGAGAGCACGACCCGCGCCACUCGCACUGAGACACUGGCGAGACACCUACGGGUGGCUGCAGUCGAGGAUCUUCGGCAAUGCGCGCAAGCGCGACCGAGCGACGCGGCGUGGGCGAUGAAGGCCUUCGGGUUGUAAAGCCCUGUCGAGGGGGAGAAAAGCCCGCAAGGGUGUGAUCUAUCCCUGGAGGAAGCUCGGGCUAAGUUCGUGCCAGCCGCCGCAGUAACAC